GGCGCUAUAGCCAAGUGGUUACGGCGACAGAUUAGAAUGUGAAUGAUCUGUUCUCCUUUGGAGGCGCAGGUUCGAAUCCUGCUGGCGUCG